AUUGAACGCUGGCGGCAGGCCUAACACAUGCAAGUCGAGCGAGCGGCGGACGGGUGAGUAAUGUCUGGGGAACUGCCCGAUAGUGGGGGAUAACUACUGGAAACGGUGGAUAAUACCGCAUACUAUCGGAUGUAUCCAUAUGGGAUUAGCUAGUAGGUGGGGUAAAGGCUCACCUAGGCGACGAUCCCUAGCUGGUCUGAGAGGAUGAUCAGCAACACUGGAACUGAGAAACGGCCCAGACUCCUACGGGAGGCAGCAGUGGGGAAUAUUGCACAAUGGGCGCAAGCCUGAUGCAGCCAUGCCGCGUGUAUGAAGAAGGCCUUAGGGGUGUAAAGUACUUUCAGCGGGGAGGCGUUACCCGCAGAAGAAGCACCGGCUAACUCCGUGCCAGCAGCCGCGGUAAUUC
rnacentral:rRNA from 1 species